UAAGGGAUAUUGGUCAAUGGGGCGGGGAGCCUGAACCAGCCAUGCCGCGUGAGGGAAUGAGGCCCUACGGGUCGUAAACCUCUUUUGCCGGGGGAUAACGGGCGCCACGUGUGGCGCCGUGAAGGUACCCGGAGAAUAAGCAUCGGCUAACUCCGUGCCAGCAGCCGCGGUAAUACGGAGGAUGCGAGCGUUAUCCGGAUUUAUUGGGUUUAAAGGGUGCGCAGGCGGGCGUCUAAGUCAGCGGUGAAAGUUCCCGGCUCAACCGGGUCAGUGCCGAUGAUACUGGGGGCCUUGAAUGCGGUCGAGGCCGGCGGAAUGUGGCGUGUAGCGGUGAAAUGCUUAGAUAUCACGAAGAACUCCGAUUGCGAAGGCAGCUCACUGGAGCGCAACUG
rnacentral:rRNA from 1 species